rnacentral:misc_RNA from 1 species
UGCUGCAUUGUUGCAUGGACAAAGGGAGACACUUGAACAGGGAGAAAGGAACUUUAACAGGUUUGGUGGGUGGCUGGGAAAGAAUUCGACUAUGGGCAAAAAUUUGAGGCUUUUGGAGGAUUUGCAUGUUCAUCUUCUUGCUUCUCGUGAGUUUAUUUCAUGCAGGGAGAUUCUUCGACUCGAAUAUCUUACUAUUCUUUUAAAACAAUUGACUGAUCCUCUUCGGCUGCUGCCUAAGGAUGAAGCUGUUGAGAAGGUUGUGGCGUUCAUGAAUUUUUACUCAAUAAGUCAGGGAGACACUGACACUGUUGUGGAGUUGUCAAAAUUCCAGGGGCAUACAAAUCCAAUGGAUGGCAUCCCAUCUGCUGUCAAAGCAGCCCUGACCAGAGCAUAUAAAGAGGGAAACAAAUUAAGGAUGGUACGAGCUGCAGAUUUGGUCUCACUUCCUGGCGUGAAAAAGGCCCCUAAGAAGCGUAUUGCAGCAAUCCUAGAACCAUCUGAGGAUGGUUUAGCAGAGGAAAAUGGUGAUGCAUUAGCAGAAAAUGAAGAAGAAGACUCUUCUGACACUGAGGACUUAGAAGGAACUGCUGAUGGCAAGAAGCUCCAGUCUGAACUUAAUAGUUUGAAUUCAAAAGGAAUCCAAGUAGAGGUGGAACUAAAGGGCACAGAAAAUUCAAAUACUAAGAAGACACCAAGGGGCAGGGGAAAAGGUGGGUCCUCAUCUGUGGAAAAGCCUGCAGGCAGGGGAAGAGGGGGUUCUGGAUCCUCGGAGAAGGCUGCAUCAAAGAGAAAGAGAUGAGAAUUGAUUAUUUAGUACUUCGCAAUGCCUGUGACUGGUGUAAGUGGAGUCCCCUUGUGGACUAUGUAUUUUUUGUGGGUUAGUUGGAGAAUGGUGAUAAAUUUUGUAAAUGGGUUUUCUCAUGGGUAAAAAUAUCUUCUAAGGCAACGGCUUUCUU